rnacentral:rRNA from 1 species
GGUAGAGGUUGCCGGAACUGUAGGUGUANCGGUGAAAUGCGUAGAUAUCUACAGGAACACCAAAGACGAAGGUAGGCAACUGGGCCGGUUCUGACGCUCAGGCACGAAAGCGUGGGGAGCAAACAGGAUUAGAUACCCUGGUAGUCCACGCCGUAAACGAUGUGCACUAGAUUCGAGAGGCUCUGACGCCAUUCGGGUCGAAGCAAAAGUGUUAAGUGCACCGCCUGGGGAGUACGGUCGCAAGGCUAAAACUCAAAGGAAUUGACGGGGGCUCACACAAGCGGUGGAGCAUGUGGCUUAAUUCGAAGCAACGCGAAGAACCUUAUCCUGGGUUUGACAUGCACGGAUACCCUCGCCGAAAGGCGAGUAAGUUGCCCAUUCGGGUGAAACGUGCACAGGUGCUGCAUGGCUGUCGUCAGCUCGUGCUGUGAAGUGUUGGGUUAAGUCCCUUAACGAGCGAAACCCCUGUCGCUAGUUGCUAACAGGUCUCCGGACGCUGAGGACUCUAGCGAGACUGCCGGUGUCAAACCGGAGGAAGGCGGGGAUGACGUCAAGUCCUCAUGGCCUUUAUGCCCAGGGCUGCACACGUGCUACAAUGGCGUGAACAGAGCGACGCAAUACCGUAAGGUGGAGCAAAUCGCAAAAAUCACGCCCCAGUUCGGAUCGAGGUCUGCAACUCGACCUCGUGAAGGUGGAAUCGCUAGUAAUCGCGCAUCAGCAAUGGCGCGGUGAAUACGUUCCUGAGCAUUGUACACACCGCCCGUCAAGUCAUGGAAGCCGGGAGUGCCCGAAGUCGCACCGUUUCAGGUGUGCCUACGGCAAGCUCGGUGACUGGGACUAAGUCGU